GACGAACGCUGGCGGCGUGCCUAAUACAUGCAAGUCGAGCGAAUCUCAGGGAGCUUGCUCCCUGAGAUUAGCGGCGGACGGGUGAGUAACACGUGGGUAACCUGCCUGUAAGACCGGGAUAACUUCGGGAAACCGGAGCUAAUACCGGAUACUUUCUUUUCUCGCAUGAGGGAAGAUGGAAAGAUGGUUCUGGUAUCACUUACAAAUGGACCCGCGGCGCAUUAGCUAGUUGGUGAGGUAACGGCUCACCAAGGCGACGAUGCGUAGCCGACCUGGGAGGGUGAUCGGCCACACUGGGACUGAGACACGGCCCAGACUCCUACGGGAGGCAGCAGUAGGGAAUCUUCCGCAAUGGACGAAAGUCUGACGGAGCAACGCCGCGUGAGCGAAGAAGGCCUUCGGGUCGUAAAGCUCUGUUGUUAGGGAAGAACAAGUACGAGAGUAACUGCUCGUACCUUGACGGUACCUAACCAGAAAGCCACGGCUAACUACGUGCCAGCCGCCGCCGUAACAC
rnacentral:rRNA from 1 species